rnacentral:rRNA from 1 species
UACGUGGGGGGCAAGCGUUGUUCGGAAUUACUGGGCGUAAAGGGCUCGUAGGCGGCCAACUAAGUCGGAUGUGAAAUCCCCAGGCUCAACUUGGGAACUGCAUCCGAUACUGAUUGGCUUGAAUCCGGGAGAGGGAUGCAGAAUUCCAGGUGUAGCGGUGAAAUGCGUAGAUAUCUGGAGGAAUACCGGUGGCGAAGGCGGCAUCCUGGACCGGCAUUGACGCUGAUGAGCGAAAGCCAGGGGAGCAAACGGG